UACAGAGGGUGCCAGCGUUGUUCGGAAUUACUGGGCGUAAAGGGCUCGUAGGCGGCCAACUAAGUCAUACGUGAAAUCCCUCAGCUUAACUGGGGAACUGCGUGUGAUACUGGAUGGCUUGGAUUUGGGAGAGGGAUGCGGAAUUCCAGGUGUAGCGGUGAAAUGCGUAGAUAUCUGGAGGAACACCGGUGGCGAAGGCGGCCGACUGGGCCCGAUCCUG
rnacentral:rRNA from 1 species